rnacentral:rRNA from 1 species
CCUACGGGAGGCAGCAGUGAGGAAUAUUGGUCAAUGGGCGCGAGCCUGAACCAGCCAAGUAGCGUGAAGGAUGACUGCCCUACGGGUUGUAAACUUCUUUUAUAAAGGAAUAAAGUGAGGCACGUGUGCCUCUUUUGAUGUACUUUGUGAAUAAGGCUCGGCUAACUCCCUUCCAGCCACCGCGGGAAUACGGGGGAUCCGAGCGUUAUCCGGCUUUUUUUGGUUUAAAGGGAUGGUUGAUGGGUUGUUAAGGCAGUUGUGAAAGUUUGCGGCUCAACCGCAAAAUUGCAAUUGAUACUGGCAGUCUUGAGUAGAGGAGAGGUAUGCGGAAGUCGUGGUGUAGCGGUGAAAUGCUUAGAUAUCACGAAGAACUCCGAUUGCGAAGGCAGCAUACCAACCUGCGACUGACAUUGAUGCUCGAAAGUGUGGGUAUCAAACAGGAUUAGAUACCCCAGUAGUC